UUACUGGGCGUAAAGCGCGCGUAGGCGGUUUGUUAAGUCAGAUGUGAAAUCCCCGGGCUCAACCUGGGAAUGGCAUUUGAGACUGGCAGGCUAGAGUAUGGUAGAGGUGAGUGGAAUUUCAGGUGUAGCGGUGAAAUGCGUAGAGAUCUGAAGGAACAUCAGUGGCGAAGGCGACUCACUGGGCCAUUACUGACGCUGAGGUGCGAAAGCGUGGGUAGCAAACAGGAUUAGAUACCCUGGUAGUCCACGCCCUAAACGAUGUCAACUAGGUGUAUGGAGAAAAUAUUCUUUGUGUAUCGAAGCUAACGCGAUAAGUUGACCGCCUGGGGAGUACGGUCGCAAGACUAAAACUCAAAUGAAUUGACGGGGGCCCGCACAAGCGGUGGAGCAUGUGGUUUAAUUCGAUGCAACGCGAAGAACCUUACCUGGCCUUGACAUGU
rnacentral:rRNA from 1 species